rnacentral:lncRNA from 1 species
UUUACUACUGCACCUCCCCAGGAAAUCUCUCCUCUUGCCUGCGAUCGUUUACUGUGGUGCUUCAGAUUCACCCGUGUUGUGUAUGCCCGUGCACGCCACCCAUGCAAAGACUUGCAAGUGAGGGAAGCAGAAUCCACCACUUCGACUCAAAGGAGUCUCUCUGGAGCCUCGGCUCUGGUCUCUGUUUACACUGAACCUUAAAACGCUAAAUGUGGUGCCUUUGCUCCACUAGACACCUGGGAAGGGGGCUGUGACAAUUGCAGUCCAAUUCAUAUCAUGGCAAGAGUAUUUUAAAACGGUGGUUUACAGUGUUUAAGAAAGCCUAUUAGUCAGCUGGGAUUUCUGCUGCAGGUCGUCAGAGAGUAGAGUUAAGAAGAGCUAGCUGCAUGUCUGCGUUUUGGGUUUUGAAAUACUUUGGUUUCUUGAGCCACACUAUCGCAGACUUCACUGCAUUUUCAAACAACACAGUGCCUUACGGAAAGGAGCAUAAAGAGGAGUGAGCCGUGAUUCGGCUGUUAUGUAUAAGAUGUUUUCCAGCCUCUGUAUCUCUUCUGGAAGAAUGAAGAUUAGCUCAGUUCCCUCCCAUCCUCCUUCCUUUUCUCCCUCUGGCUGGAGGUCUGGACAUAUUCUCUUCACUACUCAGCAACAUUUCUCUUUUAUCCUACAGAUACCAGUCAGGUCCCAAUCAGCUUAAAACCAGAGUCUCCUGAACAGAGAUCGUGACUACAGCACAGCGAUGCUUCCAUUAGCCAAGAGGGUGCAUUCCACAGGCACAUGUUAUCAGAACCUUCAUAAUCAGAGUCAGAAGUAAUAUAGGACAGUGAAAGGAGAGUUCUGUGAUGCUAGAUCAGGGCACUUCUGGUACUAAAAGAAAAGAAGUCUUCCAUUGUUAAAGUAAGGUCCAGUAGAUAUUUGUGAGAAAAUAUAAAAUAUUUAUUUUACAUGUGUAUAUGUAUGUCUAGGUGUUCUAGUCCUAAGGGGAAGAAUUGAUUAAUAGAUCAAUUGAGUGAUCGACAAUCAGAAGCCAGAAGAAAGCCUGCAGAGAGAGGAUUGUCAGCUAAGGCUAUUCUUUUAAGAGUAG